rnacentral:rRNA from 1 species
UACAGAGGUCUCAAGCGUUGUUCGGAUUCAUUGGGCGUAAAGGGUGCGUAGGCGGCGCGGUAAGUCGGGUGUGAAAUCUUGGAGCUUAACUCCGAAACUGCAUUCGAUACUGCCGUGCUUGAGGACUGGAGAGGAGACUGGAAUUUACGGUGUAGCGGUGAAAUGCGUAGAUAUCUGGAGGAACACCGGUGGCGAAGGCGGCAUCCUGGACCAACACUGACGCUGAAUGAGCGAAAGCCAGGGGAGCAAACGGGG